UGGAAGACGACGUCCACCAUCACGUUUGUGGUUGCUGGAGGAGAUGGACAGAGAAACCUGAACUGUACCGCCAUCUUCUGGCGUGGAAAGAAUGAAACCAGGACUUUCAAAUUAAUUGUAGAGGGAACUAUGGCGUACCAGAUACAGAAAGCUAUCCCUGUGGUGAUUCCUGUUGUCAUCUUAGUGCUGAUCCUCUUUGCUGUGCUGCUUGGCAUAUUCUUCUACAGGAAAAGAAAGCACACCGAUGGCCCUCUGACGCCUCCGCCAAGACCAGAGAAAGGCAAG